CCUACGGGUGGCAGCAGUGAGGAAUAUUGGUCAAUGGGCGCGAGCCUGAACCAGCCAAGUAGCGUGAAGGAUGACUGCCCUACGGGUUGUAAACUUCUUUUGUAAAGGAAUAAAGUGUGGCACGUGUGCCUUUUUGUAUGUACUUUAUGAAUAAGGAUCGGCUAACUCCGUGCCAGCAGCCGCGGUAAUACGGAGGAUCCGAGCGUUAUCCGGAUUUAUUGGGUUUAAAGGGAGCGUAGAUGGGGUGGUAAGUCAGGUGUGAAAGUUCGGGGCUCAACCGUGAAAUUGCAAUUGAUACUGGCAGCCUUGAGUACAGUUGAGGUAGGCGGAAUUCGUGGUGUAGCGGUGAAAUGCUUAGAGAUCACGAAGAACUCCGAUUGCGAAGGCAGCUUACUGGAC
rnacentral:rRNA from 1 species